GGUUGCGAUCAUACCAGCACUAAUGCACCGGAUCCCAUCAGAACUCCGCAGUUAAGCGUGCUUGGGCGAGAGUUGUACUAGGAUGGGUGACCCCCUGGGAAGUCCUCGUGUUGCAACAC
rnacentral:rRNA from 1 species